rnacentral:rRNA from 1 species
UACGAAGGGGGCUAGCGUUGUUCGGAUUUACUGGGCGUAAAGCGCACGUAGGCGGAUCGUUAAGUCAGGGGUGAAAUCCCAGAGCUCAACUCUGGAACUGCCUUUGAUACUGGGUGUCUUGAGUAUGGAAGAGGUGAGUGGAAUUCCGAGUGUAGAGGUGAAAUUCGUAGAUAUUCGGAGGAACACCAGUGGCGAAAGGCGGCUCACUGGUCCAUUACUGACGCUGAGGUGCGAAAGCGUGGGGAGCAAACAGG